AGAAACUAACAAGGAUUCCCCUAGUAACUGCGAGUGAAGCGGGAAAAGCUCAAAUUUAAAAUCCUUCGGGAAUUGUAAUCUAGAGACAUGUUUUCGGUCGCUGCCUCGGACAAGUCCCUUGGAACAGGGCGUCAUAGAGGGUGAGAAUCCCGUCCUUGCCGAGUUACCAGCGUCUAUGUGAUACAUGCUCGACGAGUCGAGUUGUUUGGGAUUGCAGCUCAAAAUGGGUGGUAAACUCCAUCUAAAGCUAAAUAUUGGCGAGAGACCGAUAGCGAACAAGUACCGUGAGGGAAAGAUGAAAAGCACUUUGGAAAGAGAGUUAAACAGUACGUGAAAUUGUUAAAAGGGAAGCGCUUGAAGUCAGUCACGUCGCAGGGACUCAGCCUUUGGUGCAUUUCUCUGUGACGGGUCAACAUCAGUUUUGGCCGCGGGAAAAGGACCUGGGGAAGGUGGCAGCUUCGGCUGUGUUAUAGCCUCUUGUCGUACACCGCGGCUGGGACUGAGGCCCGCUAAUAGGAUGUUGACGUAAUGGCUUUAAGCGACCCG
rnacentral:rRNA from 1 species